CACACACACAUCCUUACAAACUUUCGCAUUUAUAAUAUUAUAGUAGGAGGUAGGAUAUUCUUUGUUUUUUGCCGCCUCUUCAUGAAAAGAAUGUAUUAACAAAAUAUAUUUCAAACCAACUCUUUUAUAGGCUGGUCAUAUAGCCAGAAACCCUCCGUGACCGUCAAACAGGAGGUUAUCAUCAAACAAGAACCAACAGAAGAUGGUGAAAUAUUGACAGCACCAGAAGAAAAGCCGAUUCCAGACGUUAAGGAAAUUUUCGAAGACAGAAAUGUUGCCAAUUUAUUGAAGAGUGAUAAACCUACCCUCAUACUCUUACAGUUAUCUGAUACGUUACCUGGUCGAGGGGGGAGUGGGGAUGAAGAUCGCAAAAAGCCUAUCAACUUACCCUCUACUAGUGAAGAGACUGAGCAAAAACCGGUGGAUACAAGAUGUCACUUGUCGGAUUUAGAAGAGGGUAGAAUCGGAAAGUUAAGGGUGCACCAGUCGGGAAGAGUUACACUUGCUUUAGGCAAUACCAUCUUUGAGGUAUGUUCGGGCACAAAAGCGUCAUUCUACCAAGAAGUUGUGUCGGUGAAUGUAAACGACGCAAGCCGCUCGGCAAACCUAGUCUCGCUGGGACCACUUCAACACAAACUGAACAUCACACCUCACUGGGAGUCUAUGUUUGAUGAAAUGUCCAUUUAGUUAUAGUGUAUCACAUUGUAUGAAUAAUGUCAGUAUCUUGGAACAUAUUAUGGCCACUAGUUGUCCCCUCCCCUCUCGCGCCGCGCUGGUAGUCCUAUUAUGUUAAAUAAUGUGAAACAUAAUUUGUAUAUCUAUAUAUAUAAAAGAAAGUCGUGUUAGUUACACUAUUUAUAACUCAAGAAUGGCUGAACCGAUUAUGUUGAAAUUUGGUACAGAGAUUGUUUGACACCCCAGUAAGGACAUAGGACAUAGGAUAGUUUUUAUUCCGGAAAUUGAACAGGAACGGGAACUUUGCCGGUAACAACCCGGGUCUAUUGUUCCUGUUUUAUGUGUUGGAUUGUUUGUCCACUAUGGACACCAAAAUUACUCAACUGAUUUAAAUCAAAUUUGCACGCCAUGUUUGAUCAAACUUGAAAGAUAGAUAGUUUAUAUUAUUUCAAUUACGAUAAAUGACUAGCCGGACGAAGCUGGGCUGUGCAGCUAGUAAAAUAUAUUAAGAUAUUUCUAUCAUUCAACAGCAACAUCAACAUAUUCUUCUGGAUUAUAAUCUGGGAAGAUUUUAAAUUUUUAUGUAAAUGUAAAACAUAUUAUAGCGAUUAAUACUUUUAAGUGCAACUGUAUAUAACUAUAAAUAAGUCUAUAACAAUAAGAAUAUAAUUUA